rnacentral:ncRNA from 1 species
CCUUGACGGGAAUAAACCCGACAAAGCCAAGACAAGGAGAUAGAUAUG